GUGCCAGCCGCCGCGGUAAUACGUAGGGUGCAAGCAGGAUGAGGAAUUACUGGGCGUAAAGCGUGCGCAGGCGGUUAUGUAAGACAGAUGUGAAAUCCCCGGGCUCAACCUGGGACCUGCAUUUGUGGCUGCAUAGCUAGAGUACGGCAGAGGGGGAUGGAAUUCCGCGUGUAGCAGUGAAAUGCGUAGAUAUGCGGAGGAACACCGAUGGCGAAGGCAAUCCCCUGGGCCUGUACUGACGCUCAUGCACGAAAGCGUGGGGAGCAAACAGGAUUAGAUACCCUGGUAGUCCACGCCCUAAACGAUGUCAACUGGUUGUUGGGUCUUCACUGACUCAGUAACGAAGCUAACGCGUGAAGUUGACCGCCUGGGGAGUACGGCCGCAAGGUUGAAACUCAAAUAAAUUGACGG
rnacentral:rRNA from 1 species